rnacentral:rRNA from 1 species
GACGAACGCUGGCGGCGUGCUUAACACAUGCAAGUCGAACGGAAAGGCCCUGCUUUUGUGGGGUGCUCGAGUGGCGAACGGGUGAGUAACACGUGAGUAACCUGCCCUUGACUUUGGGAUAACUUCAGGAAACUGGGGCUAAUACCGGAUAGGAGCUCCUGCUGCAUGGUGGGGGUUGGAAAGUUUCGGCGGUUGGGGAUGGACUCGCGGCUUAUCAGCUUGUUGGUGGGGUAGUGGCUUACCAAGGCUUUGACGGGUAGCCGGCCUGAGAGGGUGACCGGCCACAUUGGGACUGAGAUCCGGCCCAGACUCCUACGGGAGGCAGCAGUGGGGAAUAUUGCACAAUGGGCGGAAGCCUGAUGCAGCAACGCCGCGUGCGGGAUGACGGCCUUCGGGUUGUAAACCGCUUUCGCCUGUGACGAAGCGUGAGUGACGGUAAUGGGUAAAGAAGCACGGGCUAACUACGUG